rnacentral:rRNA from 1 species
UCCUACGGGAGGCAGCAGUGGGGAAUCUUAGACAAUGGGGGCAACCCUGAUCUAGCCAUGCCGCGUGAGUGAUGAAGGCCUUAGGGUCGUAAAGCUCUUUCGCCUGUGAUGAUAAUGACAGUAGCAGGUAAAGAAACCCCGGCUAACUCCGUGCCAGCAGCCGCGGUAAUACGGAGGGGGUUAGCGUUGUUCGGAAUUACUGGGCGUAAAGCGCGCGUAGGCGGAUUAGAAAGUUGGGGGUGAAAUCCCGGGGCUCAACCCCGGAACUGCCUCCAAAACUGCUAGUCUAGAGUUCGAGAGAGGUGAGUGGAAUUCCGAGUGUAGAGGUGAAAUUCGUAGAUAUUCAGAGGAACACCAGUGGCGAAGGCGGCUCACUGGCUCGAUACUGACGCUGAGGUGCGAAAGUGUGGGGAGCAAACAGGAUUAGAUACCCUGGUAGUCCACACCGUAAACGAUGAAUGCCAGUCGUCGGAUAGUAUACUAUUCGGUGACACACCUAACGGAUUAAGCAUUCCGCCUGGGGAGUACGGUCGCAAGAUUAAAACUCAAAGGAAUUGACGGA